rnacentral:rRNA from 1 species
GAGAGGUCCCAACCCCCACAGUUGGUACUGAGACACGACCAAACUCCUACGGAAGGCAGCAG